AGAGUUUGAUCCUGGCUCAGGAUGAACGCUGGCGGCGUGCUUAACACAUGCAAGUCGAACGAAGCAUAAGAGACAGAAUACUACGGUAGGAAGAUUUUUAUGACUGAGUGGCGGACGGGUGAGUAACGCGUGGGUAACCUGCCUCAUACAGGGGGAUAACAGUUAGAAAUGGCUGCUAAUACCGCAUAAGUGCACAGUACUGCAUGGUACAGUGUGAAAAACUCUGGUGGUAUGAGAUGGACCCGCGUCUGAUUAGCUAGUUGGUGAGGUAAGGGCUCACCAAGGCAACGAUCAGUAGCCGACCUGAGAGGGUGAACGGCCACAUUGGGACUGAGACACGGCCCAAACUCCUACGGGAGGCAGCAGUGGGGAAUAUUGCACAAUGGGGGGAACCCUGAUGCAGCGACGCCGCGUGAAGGAAGAAGUAUUUCGGUAUGUAAACUUCUAUCAGCAGGGAAGAAAAUGACGGUACCUGACUAAGAAGCCCCGGCUAACUACGUGCCAGCAGCCGCGGUAAUACGUAGGGGGCAAGCGUUAUCCGGAUUUACUGGGUGUAAAGGGAGCGUAGGCGGCAGUGCAAGUCAGAAGUGAAAGCCCAAGGCUCAACCAUGGGACUGCUUUUGAAACUGUACAGCUAGAUUGCAGGAGAGGUAAGUGGAAUUCCUAGUGUAGCGGUGAAAUGCGUAGAUAUUAGGAGGAACACCAGUGGCGAAGGCGGCUUACUGGACUGUAAAUGACGCUGAGGCUCGAAAGCGUGGGGAGCAAACAGGAUUAGAUACCCUGGUAGUCCACGCUGUAAACGAU
rnacentral:rRNA from 1 species